rnacentral:rRNA from 1 species
GUAGGUGACAAGCGUUGUCCGGAUUUACUGGGCGUAAAGAGCGCGCAGGCGGUCGAUCAAGUCGAGUGUGAAAGCCCCCGGCUCAACUGGGGAGGGUCAUUCGAUACUGAUCGACUCGAAGGCAGGAGAGGGAAGUGGAAUUCCCGGUGUAGUGGUGAAAUGCGUAGAUAUCGGGAGGAACACCAGUGGCGAAGGCGACUUCCUGGCCUGUUCUUGACGCUGAGGCGCGAAAGCUAGGGGAGCAAACGGGAUUAGAUACCCCGGUAGUCCUGGCCGUAAACGAUGGACACUAGGUGUUGGUGGUAUCAACCCCGCCAGUGCCGAAGCUAACGCAUUAAGUGUCCCGCCUGGGGAGUACGGCCGCAAGGCUA